rnacentral:rRNA from 1 species
AUGGUUAAGUUAGAAAGGGCGCACGGUGAAUGCCUUGGCACUAGGAGCCGAUGAAGGACGGGACUAACACCGAUAUGCUUCGGGGAGCUGUAAGUGAGCUUUGAUCCGGAGAUUUCCGAAUGGGGAAACCCACUGUUCGUAAUGGAACAGUAUCUUUAUCUGAAUACAUAGGAUAUUGAAGGCAGACCCGGGGAACUGAAACAUCUAAGUACCCGGAGGAAGAGAAAGCAAAUGCGAUUUCCUGAGUAGCGGCGAGCGAAACGGAAUUAGCCCAAACCAAGAGGCUUGCCUCUUGGGGUUGUAGGACACUCUGUACGGAGUUACAAAGGAACGAAGUAAAUGAAGCGACCUGGAAAGGUCCGUCGAAGAAGGUAACAACCCUGUAGUUGAAACUUCGUUCCCUCUUGAGUGGAUCCUGAGUACGGCGGAACACGUGAAAUUCCGUCGGAAGCUGGGAGGACCAUCUCCCAAGGCUAAAUACUACCUAGUGACCGAUAGUGAACCAGUACCGUGAGGGAAAGGUGAAAAGCACCCCGGAAGGGGAGUGAAAGAGAUCCUGAAACCGUGUGCCUACAAGUAGUCAGAGCCCGUUAACGGGUGAUGGCGUGCCUUUCGUAGAAUGAACCGGCGAGUUACGAUCCCAUGCAAGCUUAAGCUGAUAAGGCGGAGCCGUAGCGAAAGCGAGUCUGAAUAGGGCGUUUAGUAUGUGGUUGUAGACCCGAAACCAGGUGAUCUACCCAUGUCCAGGGUGAAGUUCAGGUAACACUGAAUGGAGGCCCGAACCCACGCACGUUGAAAAGUGCGGGGAUGAGGUGUGGGUAGCGGAGAAAUUCCAAUCGAACCUGGAGAUAGCUGGUUCUCUCCGAAAUAGCUUUAGGGCUAGCCUCAUGUUGUGAGAGUCUUGGAGGUAGAGCACUGAUUGGACUAGGGGCCCCCAACGGGUUACCGAAUUCAGUCAAACUCCGAAUGCCAAAGACUUAUCCAUGGGAGUCAGACUGCGAGUGAUAAGAUCCGUAGUCAAAAGGGAAACAGCCCAGACCACCAGCUAAGGUCCCCAAGUAUACGUUAAGUGGAAAAGGAUGUGGAGUUGCUUAGACAACCAGGAUGUUGGCUUAGAAGCGUACCACCAUUUAAAGAGUGCGUAAUAGCUCACUGGUCGAGUGACUCUGCGCCGAAAAUGUACCGGGGCUAAACGUAUCACCGAAGCUGUGGAUUGACAUCUUUGAUGUCAGUGGUAGGAGAGCGUUCUAAGUGCUGUGAAGUCAGACCGUAAGGACUGGUGGAGCGCUUAGAAGUGAGAAUGCCGGUAUGAGUAGCGAAAGACAAGUGAGAAUCUUGUCCACCGAAUGCCUAAGGUUUCCUGAGGAAGGCUCGUCCGCUCAGGGUUAGUCGGGACCUAAGCCGAGGCUGAAAAGCGUAGGCGAUGGCCAACAGGUUGAUAUUCCUGUACCACCUCCCCGCCGUUUGAGUAAUGGGGGGACGCAGUAGGAUAGGGUAAGCGCGGCCGCUGGAUAUGCGCGUUCAAGCAGUUAGGCUGAUGAGUAGGCAAAUCCGCUCAUCAUAAAGGCUGAGCUGUGAUGACGAGGGAAUUAUAGUACCGAAGUUCCUGAUUCCACACUGCCAAGAAAAGCCUCUAGCGAGGCGGGAGGUGCCCGUACCGCAAACCGACACAGGUAGGCGAGGAGAGAAUCCUAAGGUGAUCGAGAGAACUCUCGUUAAGGAACUCGGCAAAAUGACCCCGUAACUUCGGGAGAAGGGGUGCUCUGGUAGGGUGUAUAGCCCGAGAGAGCCGCAGUGAAUAGGCCCAGGCGACUGUUUAGCAAAAACACAGGUCUCUGCGAAGCCGCAAGGCGAAGUAUAGGGGCUGACGCCUGCCCGGUGCUGGAAGGUUAAGAGGAGGGGUUAUCCUUUGGGAGAAGCUCUGAAUCGAAGCCCCAGUAAACGGCGGCCGUAACUAUAACGGUCCUAAGGUAGCGAAAUUCCUUGUCGGGUAAGUUCCGACCCGCACGAAAGGCGUAACGAUCUGGGCACUGUCUCAACGAGAGACUCGGUGAAAUUAUAGUACCUGUGAAGAUGCAGGUUACCCGCGACAGGACGGAAAGACCCCGUGGAGCUUUACUGUAGCCUGAUAUUGAAUUUUGGUACAGCUUGUACAGGAUAGGUAGGAGCCUGAGAAGCCGGAGCGCUAGCUUCGGUGGAGGCGUCGGUGGGAUACUACCCUGGCUGUAUUGAAAUUCUAACCCGCGGCCCUGAUCGGGCCGGGAGACAGUGUCAGGUGGGCAGUUUGACUGGGGCGGUCGCCUCCUAAAAUGUAACGGAGGCGCCCAAAGGUUCCCUCAGAAUGGUUGGAAAUCAUUCGUAGAGUGUAAAGGCACAAGGGAGCUUGACUGCGAGACCUACAAGUCGAGCAGGGACGAAAGUCGGGCUUAGUGAUCCGGUGGUUCCGCAUGGAAGGGCCAUCGCUCAACGGAUAAAAGCUACCCCGGGGAUAACAGGCUUAUCUCCCCCAAGAGUCCACAUCGACGGGGAGGUUUGGCACCUCGAUGUCGGCUCAUCGCAUCCUGGGGCUGUAGUCGGUCCCAAGGGUUGGGCUGUUCGCCCAUUAAAGCGGUACGCGAGCUGGGUUCAGAACGUCGUGAGACAGUUCGGUCCCUAUCCGUCGUGGGCGUAGGAAAUUUGAGAGGAGCUGUCCUUAGUACGAGAGGACCGGGAUGGACACACCGCUGGUGUACCAGUUGUCUUGCCAAAGGCAUCGCUGGGUAGCUAUGUGUGGACGGGAUAAGUGCUGAAAGCAUCUAAGCAUGAAGCCCCCCUCAAGAUGAGAUUUCCCAUAGCGCAAGCUAGUAAGAUCCCUGAAAGAUGAUCAGGUUGAUAGGUCAGAGGUGGAAGCGUGGCGACAUGUGUAGCUGACUGAUACUAAUCGAUCGAGGACUUAACCAAAC